rnacentral:lncRNA from 1 species
AUGAGACUCAGCAAGCCAAGCAGUGAGACACAUCCCAGCCCUAACCAGCUCUCGGGUCUCCCAUCUCCCUGCCGGAUAUCUACUGGUCGCUUCUCCCCCCAAGCCCUUCAUCCGUUCCCUUUGUCUGCAGGCGGGCUGGUGGCUGUCCCCCCCCGCCCGGAACGUGCAGUCCCGAUCCGCGCCGCUGAGCGGCACCGUCCCUCCAGGCACACGGAGAGCAGCCACACGACUCCCCGCGGUCACCCCCCGGGCAGGUGGCCCCGCAGAACCACCUCACCCCAUAGGGGGGAUCAAAAGGUCCAGCCCUCAGCAUCAACGGUGUCUGCACCCCAGCACGGGCAAGGCUUGACUGGUAACCCGAAGCGCUGCUACAUCACCUGGGUUGCAUCAAGCAGAGCGAAGUGCUGGAGAGCUGCUCAUGAAUUGCAGCAUUUGGACUUGAAGCUUCUGCUCUGUGGGAAGACACCAGGCCAUCUGUGUGUGAAGCAUGAACAUUAUGGACAAAAGACCAUUAAGAGUGGGAAGUUUUUAAUGACUCUUCAUGUGGCUCUUAAGCUUGUCACAGUGUGGAGGGAUUCAGAGACUAUAAGUGACUUCCUGGAAGAACAUCAAGGUCUGAAAUGA